UUUCAUACAUGUUAGUCCCACUGUACAUGUACUAGGUACUGUGAAAUAUCAAUGUGCAGCACUGCACUGAUACAUGGACAGCCCACACUGCUCCAGAUAGCAGGUGGAGAAGUCUGGCACCUGGCUUUUCCUUCUGUUGCCCUUGGAGACGGAUGAAAAACUAGCCAUGAAGGACAGUCUGUUGCCUAGCCCUUCAGUUUAACCCCAGAGGGCCCUUGUUCAAGAUACAUGGGCAAGUGGCAGUGAUGAUGCAGUGUCUACAGCUGUCACAAUCAUCUUUCAGUUGCUGCAAGGCAGGACAUCACAAUAAAUUAGAUCUGACCCAGACUAGCUGCAAGGAGAGACUUGAAGUGGGUUGCAUAGGCAGGGUCCCUGGGCAAAGAGUGAGGAGGAAAGGAGGGCCCUCUUGGAUGUGUGUGUGAAUGAGACCCAGGAUGAGAGCAAAGAGGCUCUCGCCAGAGUGCCAUCUGUUCCAGAUGUGGAGAGGGAGGUACAGACCACACUGACGUACCCCUAUCUGACCCAUUGGCAAUGGGAGAGAAAUUAUGGAAAAACGUACUUGAUAAUGACUUUUUGUUAAAUACCCCAAUAAACCUA